GUGUAGUCUCAAUAGAUACAAUAAUUUGCUUUAUUUCCUCAGUGUAUGAAAGAAUGAUUGUGACCAAAGAUAUGAAAUACAUGCCUGAGCGCAAGCCUGCAACACGAGCAAGGUUGGAAAUUCCAUUCUUUGGUGUUUCUCCAUCUCCAUCUUUAAUUCAAGAGCCACUUGAGGCAACUAAACAGGAAGAAGAGCAGACAGUUGAUAACAUGGUUGCAUUAUCCAUAGAGGAACCAUUAAAAGAAACUUUAAACAAUACACAGCAGCAAGCUUAUGAAGAAGCAUCUCCUGAAGCACCAGAAAUCAUUCCAAAGCAGCUUUAUUGUUUGCAUAAAAAGACAAAAUCAGACCCAGAUAUUUGUAGAUAUUCUUACAUAUAUGAAAGAAAGGCAGAAAAGUAUUCUGGAAAAGACAAACUGGGCAGGAGACAAACGUAUCCUAAGGAGAAGAUACAUUUUGAAGAAAAAGUCUCAGGCUUGACCGAAAUACAGAAAGGAGUGAAGAAAAAGGAGCUCAAGAAACAUAAGCCAAGGAAGCUAGGCAAAAGAGGAAAAGUUGGUCUCGUGAAGAAGAGGUUGCCGAAACAUAGAAAAACUUUUUCUGCACAAAUGGGUUCUGGAAGAUCAAGAGACGUGACUUAUAGCAUACGGCCUCGAUCAGCACACUCUGCAACUUACUUUGGACAAAAAAUAUUCCCUGCCCUGGGACCUCAGGCAUUAUCACCUACUGAAAAAAGGCCAUUUUCAAGAAAGAAAACAGAACAAUGCAGUGAAGGCUAUAAAUCCACUAAUGAAAAAGAUAUAAGAGUGGUGUUCUUGCGGAAAGAAAAUGAACGAAUUCAGCAAGUGGAAGAACAAAGUUUGACACCAGAAUUUGAAAAAAGAUCAUUUUCUCACAGAUACUGUUUCACACCCAACAACUCUCAGCAAUAUCAAACUUCAGAAUAUCCCAACAUUGUGUCUGAAUCAUUUUUUGCUAUGAUGAAGCCUUUCAAACAAUAUCAAAGACGCCCAUAUACUGUAAUGGAAGAAAGUACCAUUAACCUUCCUAGGGACUUCCCUUACAGGCUGGCCUGGGGGACACCAACUUCUCAAGAUCUGAACAUAAAACUUUAUCAUCCUAAACUGAAAUUGAGAAAAGAACAAGGAACAAGCAAAGUGAUUCAAGAAAAAACGUUGCAACCAACCAGAUCAAUUCCAGACAAAGGGAGAUACAUCUUAGUGAACGACCCAAAUUCAGCACCUUCAGUUCCCCCUAUGAGUUUACUGGAAAGCAGAUUGCUCAGUGCCCGUUUUCCUGUACAGAAAGAAAAGAUUCUUCGUUCUCUCUUAUGAGAUAUGUGGGAAACCAAGUAGUCUUAUCCAUUUCUUUCACCAGCUUCGUUGUAGAGAAUAAGCCAUUUUCAACAUCUUUACUUCUUGCAUACCUUCGCUAGAUAGUAAUACAUAGGUAAAAGCACAUUUUUCCUCCAUUUCCUCCCUAAACCAAUGUAAUAGCUCAUUCUCCCUUUAUAGUAUUUGAACAAAUUAACCUGGUUUGAUUAGCCAUGCAAUAACACCAGCAUCUGAGCCUCCACAUUUUAUUGUGUAGUAUGAAUUAUUUUUAUGAUGUACUUUUUGCAGCUUUUAAUCUAUUCUUACAUGAAUAUUGUCAAUGAAGUAGUUUUUGAGGAAGUAACAGCAGAGCAAAAUAUUCAGAGGUGUUUUUUUGUUCUUUUUCCAAUAUGGUAUGCAUUUUACUUCCUUGUACCUGCAAAGACAGGGUUAACUGUCUAUGCUGUUUCUGUAACCACAUCAACCUGGUUUUGGUAAACUGGUGAUCUGUUCAUUCAUGGUCCAAUCCUUCUUGAGGGUUAAGUAGUAGCUAUGUUAAUUAGUUCUAGUUACUACUAAGUGAGAUGUAGGGUUAGGAUUAGGUUUAGUCAAUCCUGAAAGGGGAGUCACUUUAAAAUUAAGACAGCUUACAAACUGCUGAAGCCUGCAUAUACAGAUUUCUUGCCCUCUUAUCAAUGCAUUGGAACCCAUGUCCUUAAAAUGUCUAAUUGGACUAAUUUAAUUCAAGAGAUGUGAGUUGGUAGCAAACCUUAAGAUCUUUAAUUAAAAUAUUUGGUAUAAAGGCAAAGAUAAUGUAAUUUUGCUAAACCAAUAAAUGAUUCAUUUAAAACUGCUCUGGCCAACAUUUCCCUUUUCCUUGUGUAAGAUUUGGUGUUUUAGUUGCUUUCUAAAUUCCAAUUUUCAGAGUUCUUGUAGUAUUAUCAAUAAAUAUGGUCUGU
ensembl:lncRNA